AGGAAUAUUGGUCAAUGGGCGCGAGCCUGAACCAGCCAAGUAGCGUGAAGGAUGAAGGUCCUACGGAUUGUAAACUUCUUUUAUAAGGGAAUAAAGUCACCCACGUGUGGGUGUUUGUAUGUACCUUAUGAAUAAGCAUCGGCUAACUCCGUGCCAGCAGCCGCGGUAAUACGGAGGAUGCGAGCGUUAUCCGGAUUUAUUGGGUUUAAAGGGAGCGUAGACGGGCCGUUAAGUCAGCUGUGAAAGUUUGAGGCUCAACCUUAAAAUUGCAGUUGAUACUGGCGUCCUUGAGUACGGUUGAGGCAGGCGGAAUUCGUGGUGUAGCGGUGAAAUGCUUAGAUAUCACGAAGAACCCCGAUUGCGAAGGCAGCCUGCUAAACCGCCACUGACGUUGAGGCUCGAAAGUGUGGGUAUCAAACAGGAUUAGAUACCCUGGUAGUCCACACGGUAAACGAUGGAUACUCGCUGUUGGCGAUAGACUGUCAGCGGCUUAGCGAAAGCGUUAAGUAUCCCACCUGGGGAGUACGCCGGCAACGGUGAAACUCAAAGGAAUUGACGGGGGCCCGCACAAGCGGAGGAACAUGUGGUUUAAUUCGAUGAUACGCGAGGAACCUUACCCGGGCUUGAAUUGCAGACGAAUUGCUUGGAAACAGGCAAGCCGCAAGGCGUCUGUGAAGGUGCUGCAUGGUUGUCGUCAGCUCGUGCCGUGAGGUGUCGGCUUAAGUGCCAUAACGAGCGCAACCCUCGUGUCCAGUUACCAUCAGGUUAUGCUGGGGACUCUGUCGAGACUGCCGUCGUAAGAUGUGAGGAAGGUGGGGAUGGCGUCAAAUCAGCACGGCCCUUACGUCCGGGGCUACACACGUGUUACAAUGGGGGGUACAGAAGGCAGCUACACGGCGACGUGAUGCUAAUCCCGAAAGCCUCUCUCAGUUCGGAUUGGAGUCUGCAACCCGACUCCAUGAAGCUGGAUUCGCUAGUAAUCGCGCAUCAGCCACGGCGCGGUGAAUACGUUCCCG
rnacentral:rRNA from 1 species